rnacentral:rRNA from 1 species
UACGUAGGAGGCAAGCGUUAUCCGGAUUUACUGGGCGUAAAGCGGGUGUAGGCGGCUUUUCAAGUCGGAUGUGAAAUCUCCCGGCUUAACUGGGAGGGUGCAUUCGAAACUGAUGGGCUAGAGUGCAGCAGAGGGAAGUGGAAUUCCCGGUGUAGUGGUGAAAUGCGUAGAUAUCGGGAAGAACACUAGUGGCGAAGGCGGCUUCCUGGGCUGUUACUGACGCUGAGAUCCGAAGGCGUGGGGAG